rnacentral:rRNA from 1 species
AUUAACGCUGGCGGCGUGCAUAACACAUGCAAGUCGAACGAUGAAACUCAUUAGAUUUCUUCGGAAUGAAAAUGAAUGGAUUAGUGGCGAACGGGUGAGUAACGCGUGAGUAACCUGCCUUACACAAGGGGAUAGCCUCCGGAAACGGAGAAUAAACCCCUAUGAAACAAGACAACCGCAUGAUAAUCUGGUCAAAAUGUUUAGUGGUGUAAGAUGGACUUGCGUCUGAUUAGCUAGUUGGGGAGAUAAAAGCUCACCAAGGCAACGAUCAGUAGCCGGCUUGGGAAAGUGGACGGCAACAUUGAGACUGAGACACGGCCCGGACUCAUACGAGAGGCAGCAGUGGGGAAUUUUGCACAAUGGGGGAAUCCCUGAUGCAGCGACGCCGCGUGAUUUAGAAGGCCUUCGGGUUGUAAAAAUCUUUUGUAUAGGAAGAAAAUGACAGUACUAUAAGAAUAAGGUCCGGCUAAUUACGUG